rnacentral:piRNA from 1 species
UCCUUUGCAAGUUGCUGGCUGUCGGA